rnacentral:rRNA from 1 species
AAGCGGUGGAUGAUGUGGUUUAAUUCGAUGCAACGCGAAAACCUUACCCACCUUUGACAUGUACGGAACCCUUUAGAGAUAGAGGGGUGCUCGAAAGAGAGCCGUAACACAGGUGCUGCAUGGCUGCGUCAGCUCGUGUCGUGAGAUGUUGGGUUAAGUCCCGCAACGAGCGCAACCCUUGUCAUUAGUUGCUACAUUCAGUUGGGCACUCUAAUGAGACUGCCGGUGACAAGCCGGAGGAAGGUGGGGAUGACGUCAAGUCCUCAUGGCCCUUAUAGGUGGGGCUACACACGUCAUACAAUGGAUGGUACAAAGGGUCGCCAACCCGCGAGGGGGAGCCAAUCCCAUAAAGCCAUUCGUAGUCCGGAUCGCAGUCUGCAACUCGACUGCGUGAAGUCGGAGUUGCUAGUAAUCGCAGAUCAGCCAUGCCGCGGUGAAUACGUUCCCGGGCCUU